AAAGCUUCCUCGGGGUUGGACCCUGGAUCAGGGUGUGGCUAAAGGUGUGGCAGGUGUCCUAAGUCAUAGUUAGGAGGCCUGCAAAGCCGCGAGUCUCAGCUUUUCUAUGUUGGGCAAGAUCAGGUUACCAAGGAGUGUUGAGAGCGGAAGGAACAGGCAGUUGAGAAAGCCGCCUCAGGUCUGGUUUUGAUAGGACCAGAGAAUAUGGGUUGGAGUUGGUGUGGGGUUUUGUGACCUUGUAAAAGAGACCCAGAGAGUUCCCUGGCCUCGUCUGAUGUGUGAGGUGCCAACAACACGAGGGUUCCCAAAAGACCAGGACCUGCUUGCCUCUUGAUCUUGGACUCGCCAAUCCUCAGAACAAUGAGAAAGACAUCCUGGUUGUUGGCUCUUCCAGUCUAAGGCGUUUGGUUGCCGCAGAGGUGAUGGACUGAGAAAAUAACUUCAAGACUUGGGGGCCGACAGCCACAGGGUCAGCUUCACAGCGAAGGUUCUCGAGAGUGAGCACUUUUCCUUCUGUGGUCAGCAGCUGCUCCUCAAAGUAGAGGAGCUGGUCAACUUCAAAGCAGUCGCUGGCCCGAGGAACCACGGUCUCCAGGUGCUCCCGGAUCUCUGCUUCACAGGCCUUCUGGUGCCUUGCUCUCUUGAGGUAAUCGUAGACCUCCUCAAACACUUCUGUCCCUAGCUUCUGCAUGGCUGAUCUGCCAAGAAAGAAAACCUGCUGAACUUUAAACACAGUUCUAUGCAAUAUCAUGAAGAAAAUAUCAGGACCAUUCCCUUUCACCAUGAGUAAGAAAGAUCCUGGGCUCUCUCAAACACAUCCACAUGACUCUGUGUAGAUAAACCUCUCCUUUGAUCAGGUACAGUUCACACUUGAACUCAGACAGGAUAAGAAGAGCAGCUCCUUCCCCUGCUGCAGACCUGCCUCAAUUAAUACCACUGUUGGAAGGUGGGAGAGGAUGAUCCAAUGAGAAGUGGAUUAUCUAGCCCAUCUGGUUCAUCGCCACAAUUAUGCUGCCAGCGUGUUGAAUUCCCACGGCACUCAGUCAUGACCCUAACAGCUCACAUCCUACUGUAAUUGACUUCUAAAUGUCUGUUUCUCCAAUGUUGGGCUGAGGCGAGGCACUGAGUAGCAAGGUACUAGGAUUAAAACCAUCAGCUGGACCCGGUAAGCAGCAUAUCAGGCCGUGACUCUGUCCCACAGGAGGAAGGCAGUGGUGAGUCCAGGAAGGAGUUGGUGAUGGUGAUGCUGGUUCUGGAAGCCAGCAAGAUGCUGCCCAAGUACAAGGAUCUAUCUUGGGUGUGGCCAACAGCUUCGUUUAAAACAUGGAGCAUCUUCCAGUUAGAGCAGAGUUUGGAUGCUGCAAACUAUGAAGAGAUGUUCAGAGGCGGCCCCCAGGCACCCCCACUGCAGCUAACACUCAGGAAGUGUGAAUCGCAGCACCUUUGGCACCACUUUUCACUUUGAGAUAUGUGCUAUGUACAAAGAUGCAGACCAUUAAGACCUUGGUGUGAUCAUGGAGCAGAGGGAACAGAACUUCACCGUCUGGAGGUUGCCAUCCACAAGGCCAGCUUCUCUUGCAGGCAAUGGAGAGGAGGCUGGCUUACAGUACUUGGGCUUCUGACAAUGAACAACCCAUCUAAGCGCAGGCCCAACAAAU